CAUUGAGUGUCGUGGGCUGAAUCAACUGGUGUUUUGAAGCUCAGGCUUAAUGCGCGUUUUCACAAUUGAGACAAGACAAAUAUCACGUGGAUCGGUUUCUCGAUUAGUAAUCACCUCUUAUAUUCAUCCAUCAGUCAGAUAAACAAAAGGAAUAAGCUCAUCUUUAAAUGGUCGAAGGUUCCUGCAGAAUGGCGACGUUAAACAUUUGAGAAGUGAGAACAGUUGGCAUGUUGUUGGAUCUCUCUGUGCAUGCUGUGUGCUGUGUAACAUUACAUGCGUCCUGCAUGCAUCUCUGCUCGUGCUCAUUCCAGCUGCAUGUAUCCUGUCAUCCAUGAGUUCACAUCUCUGUCACACCUUCCAUUAACACCAUCAUGGACAAAAACUGUGAUAACAAUAAUAACGCUAAUGUUCUCU